rnacentral:tmRNA from 1 species
GAGCUGAAUGCGCUCGUAAAACAGAUUCAAAAAAACUAACUGCAAACGACGAACGUUUCGCACUCGCUGCUUAAACACCAGUGAGCCUUACAACAGCAGGCCGAUGGGCUGGGCAAGGGGUCUUUAGCGCAAGCUAGGGGUUCCAGGCUGUAAGGUCAUACACAUCGGCUGGCGCUGAACCGGGUACCUUGGUUUGGAGCAAGACAAUAGGGUACUGGCGACUGUGAAAGCGUGUGGCUGCGCGUUCACAAGGGCGAGACUCAAAUCAGACCACUAAACAUGUAGAUCUGCCCGAACAAGGCUUGCGGACGGGGGUUCAAAUCCCCCCAGCUCCACCA